GAAGGCGAAUGAUGUGAAUAAAAAAAUCACUUAUACUACACACUGAUUUCAGUGUGAAGACAAUAAUUCUCUCAAAUAAUCUGAUGCCUUC